CGGAAUGUGGCUCAAGUUGGGAGGCGUUACCUGCGGAGGGUUUGAGGCACGCCCAGGAGCGAGCCCACGGUCGGCCGACGCGGGGCCAGGGGCGGGCCCCAGGAUCCGGAGCUUCGGGCGGGGCCGAGUCUGGGUUUGGGGCCCGGGAGGCGGGGCCAGUUAGGGCGAGGGUCCCUGGGAUCGUCGGGUCAGGCCUUGGGCUAACGUAGACACUCUCGCAGUACCUCCGCCUUCAGGAAGGUCUUUUUAGCAGGGGCCUUACAGGUGCACGCUUCGGUCCUGGAGGCCUUAUCCUAACCUCUCCAUCAGCGCCACCCGUCUGGGGCCCGAAAGGAGGGAGCUUUCCCUCUGUCCUCCAGCCUUUGGACUGUCUCCAAACAAGCCAUUCGUUCACCAAAUACUUAUUAAGCACCUACCAUGUGCCUGACAAGGGAGAUGUAACGAUAGGGUCUCUCUCUCUGCCACCCAGGCCAGAGUGCAGUUGACGCAGGGCAGGGGAGCCCCGAAGUGGAGCAUAGUGUGUCCGGAACUGGUGGGUUCUUGGUCUCACUGACUUCAAGAAUGAAGCCGUGGACCCUCACGGUUCAAGCGAUUCUCCUGCCUCAGCCUCC
rnacentral:lncRNA from 1 species